rnacentral:rRNA from 1 species
AUUGAACGCUGGCGGCAGGCCUAACACAUGCAAGUCGAGCGGAUGAAGGGAGCUUGCUCCUGGAUUCAGCGGCGGACGGGUGAGUAAUUCCUAGGAAUCUGCCUGGUAGUGGGGGAUAACGUCCUGAAACGGGCGCUAAUACCGCAUACGUCCUGAGGGAGAAAGUGGGGGAUCUUCGGACCUCACGCUAUCAGAUGAGCCUAGGUCGGAUUAGCUAGUUGGUGGGGUAAAGGCCUACCAAGGCGACGAUCCGUAACUGGUCUGAGAGGAUGAUCAGUCACACUGGAACUGAGACACGGUCCAGACUCCUACGGGAGGCAGCAGUGGGAAUAUUGGACAAUGGGCGAAAGCCUGAUCCAGCCAUGCCGCGUGUGUGAAGAAGGUCUUCGGAUUGUAAAGCACUUUAAGUUGGGAGGAAGGGCAGUAAGUUAAUACCUUGCUGUUUUGACGUUACCAACAGAAUAAGCACCGGCUAACUUCGUG